rnacentral:misc_RNA from 1 species
CGCCGCAAUCGGACGCGAUCAAGGCAACCAUUCACGAUCCGGAGAUGUGCCGCCGGUAUAUGGCGACCGUAAUGACCGGCGUUAAACCCGGAAGCUCUCCGCUUUGGAUGCAGCGGCGCCUGACGAGCGUCGGGCAGCGGCCGAUUAACUUACUUGUCGAUUUAACGAACUACGUCAUGCUCGCGCUCGGGCAGCCGACGCAUGCCUUUGAUGCGCGCCAGCUGACGAACAACUCGAUUCACAUCCGCCGCGCCAAAGCAAAAGAAGUUCUCGAGCUCCUCGAUGGCACGAAGCUCGAGCUCACGCCGGAGAUGCUCGUCAUCGCCGACGAGAAACGCGCCGUCGCGCUCGCCGGGAUUAUGGGCGGGAUUAAUUCCGGGGUGCAGGGCGAUACCUCGACGGUUGUCCUCGAGAGCGCGAAUUUUAACGGAGUGAAUGUGCGACGCACGGCAACAGCCCUAGGCGUUCGCACCGAAAGCUCGACGCGUUUCGAUAAGGGCAUCGACUGCGAUCGGGCGGCGCUCGCUUCUCAACUUUUCGUUCACUUGUUGAAGGAGAUUCAGCCGCAGGUGCAAGUGACGGCUUCGGUCGAUGUCUUCCCGACACCGUAUCCCCCGCUUCGUGUCGAAGUCGGGCGGGAGUUCAUCGUCAACCGGAUCGGACGGGAAUUUUCUGUUGCCGAAAUACGAGCCCUCCUCGAGCGUCUAGGCUUUCGCGUCGAGGUAGCGGAAGACAAGUUCAGCGUGCAUGUGCCGGCCUGGCGCGCGACGGGGGAUGUCUCGAUCCCGGCCGACAUCGUCGAGGAAGUGGCGCGGCUCUUCGGUUAUGAUUCGCUCGAGUUCAUUCCGCCGCUGAUCUCGCUCACCUCGGCUGUGCGCCAACCGCAGUACGAUGUUGACGCGCAGUUGAGGAAGUUUCUCGCCUAUUCGGGUGGAAUGUUCGAAGUCUUCAGCUAUCCCUGGGCAGAUGAACGGUUUCUCAACGCGGCCGGGGUAACAGAGAUAGCGGCCCUGGCGUUACAGGAUCCGCCUUCGCCCGAAACUUCGCGUAUUGCGACGACACUGUUCCCGAAUCUCCUUGCGGCGGCCGAAAAAAAUCUUCGUCAUGAAAGCUCGUUUGGACUCUUUGAGGUGGCUCGAGUGUUUAGUGCCGAACAGUUUCGCUCCUGGAGCGCGGCCGAGGAAAAGCUUCCGGAACAGCCGAAGCAUGUUGCCGGUGUGCUCGUCGGCGCCGAUGAGAAAGAGGUCUUCCUUUCGUUGAAGGGAACUCUCGAGGCGAUGUUUCAAACGCUGUCGAUCGAACCUGUCGCGUCUUCAACCGAAGGUAAGUUUUCACCCUGGACCAUGCGCGCGGGUCGUAUGGCGCUUCUCGUCAGAGGGCAGCAAGUCGGGGAAAUCGCCGUCGUUUCACCAAAGACGCUUCGUGGCGCCGGAAUCGAGCGCGCGGCUGUCGCCGCGUUUGAAUUUGAUCUCGACGAGAUUCGCUGUCUCGAGUCGACUCCCGGGCGCUAUCAGCCGAUUC